GAUGCCGCCUGGGGACGGGGUGGCAGAGAGCCCCGACGCCUGUGCCUGGCCUGAGGAGCAGGGCUUAGCUGCUUGUGAGCAGGGUUCACUCCAAGUCAUGUUCACAGUGGCUAAGUUCCGCCCCCCAGGCCCUCACCUCCUCCG
rnacentral:miRNA from 13 species